GCCAAUCCGGUAGCCUCCGCGUCUGCCUCGUCUCUUCCUCUCCACGAGCUGGCGCCGCCAUGGGGAUUUCACCAGACGGAACAAUGUUCGUCGCCCGAUUCAGCCGCUACAGCCUGCCGGCAGGGGAGCUACAUCCCGUAUAGGUCAACAUCUUGCUGGGGAUUUACAGCUUGGGUGGAUGCGGUUGCUUUGGGUCAACUCCGGCGCGACCGCGCGAGGCCACCAACGCCGAUCUGCCUCCUCGCGUUCUCUGUUGGAAUCAUCCCUCAUGCCAAGCAACUUUACUAGAUGGGUCAAAUUAAAGGAAUGGUGUUGUUCAGCAAAAAUUGUUACCAUGCUUCUAUUUUUUUCUAUUUGACUGAAAAGUGACUGCUGCCAAUGAGAAUAGGAGUGGAGAAUGGAGGCAAGGCCAUCUAGACAAUGGCAACAGGGUUGAUGGAGACAAGGCAAUGAAGACGAUCCCCGGCUUGACAUUUCUGGGGGUAUUACUUUCAGCGUGACCUUUUUGAGUUUCUCGUGGGAGGACGCCGAGUAAAACUACCAAGAUACCGGCGAGAACCUCAAGACAAUGAUAUUCCUUGGUGCUUGUUUAUGACUGAAAUACCCAAACCUAACAUUUCAUCCGGUUUUGCCUUCUGCAAGGAUAGGAGAGGAGGUAUUGAUGUCAUGGGCAGUGGUGAAGCUAACCUGACUGAUUGCCCAGGCAAACCACCAAAGGUCCUGGCCAAUGAUUUUUUGCCCACUAAAAGUUUUGAGUAACUAUUCUAGACGGUUGUAUAACUGAAACAGUGGAUUCUGGGCAGAGCCGGGGCAACUGCCCAGCCUUGCCGGGCUGAAUCUCCGCCACUGGUCAUGGGAUAUCAAAUUACUGGAUUGAUGUCAUGGGGUGCUUGAUAAACAGCAACAUGAACCUGAUCAGCUAUAGGAUAGUAGAUAUUGACUUUAAGUGAUGAACCUCUGGCUAUGGAGCUGAUUUUUCACCUUGGGGAAAUAUGCUGAAGGUCCAUUUAAUUUGCUCAUGUAGUUUAUUAUGCGCUUGAGCUCAUGGUUCUUUAAAUCAGACCAUCAAUGAUUCCUUGGCAUGAUAAUCUUGGAGCUCGCGCCUUAUUUCACUAUGUUAACUUAUUGCAAAUGUUGGAGCAGGAGCGGAACAAUACAUGAGCCUCUUUCAGUAUGACUAGAACAAGGCCUCAUUUGACUAUCUGAAUAAGCUUUGCAAUUGCUUGGUCUGCUGACUAUGGCAGCAAAUCCACGUUCCACAAAUGAUAAAUGCCUAUUGGACAGUCACCGCGUGUUUUACCUGCCUGUACGCUGCCCGUGGGCCAAGCUAAUGGUGUCCCAGGUUCGUUGGCGCUAAAUUUUAAUGGUCGCAUCGCCUCCUGGGUUGUCUCGUUCCCUGAGCAUGGCACGUUGGGAAAUGGAGUUCCAACUCAACAAAAUAUGUUGCUAAACUUGGAAAAUAAUGCCUUGAGCGAAAGUCUCGAGAGUAUAGCUUAGGAGCGACUAAUUAAACAUGACAUUUGUAGGCAGCAAGAAGAUCGCCGGUGUGUUCUACCAGGCCAGCGAGUACGACGAAAGUUCAAUAGCUGAUGCAGUGCCUCAAGUUAUAUUUCCCAUCCAUAAUUACUAAAAUUUCAGUUAUCAAUAUGCAGGUUUUUAAAUGUUUUUUGUGCAAGCUUUGUACUUGAAUUUUGAGUAUCUUUUUGUAUCUUGGUAUACUCAUAGUAUGGGUUCUCCGAUGAUUUCUUUCUUGAGAGACAAACCGAGGAUAUAUUUACUAAUUCUUUAGGAAAAGGAAAACUUUGGUAGGUUCAACAUUGAGAAUAUUGGUCAGCGCCGCAACAAUAUGGAUCAGUAGAUUAUCUUGGAUGAUCUAUAUUGCUGAUGCCCAUAUACGAAGACAACUGGAAAGAAUUCUUGAGUGGGUUGUCAACAUUGAAGGAUUUCUUUGCAAGAUAGUUCAAAGUACAUCUAGGACUGGAUUGGAGUUUGUCGCCUCCACCACCCGAUUCCUGAUUUUUCACAUACACCGACUUUGUUUGCUUAAGGAAGAUGUCCAUGCCUGUGCAAGUUUUAUGAUGUAUCCUCAAAGAUUCUGAUUAUUUGGAAAGAAUUCUGGAGAAGACAUGGACUGUUUUCAAUGGCUUCUCAGUUCCAAAAUCAGCUCCUCUCUUGAUGUAUUGUUAUGAUAUUUCGGCACUGCUGUAAACAUUUUGAGUAGCUCUAAUCGAACAGCUUAUCUCGCACUUUACACUGUUGGGCCUCUCCCAUGAUGACUUCAGAAGUAAUUAUGUUAGACAUGGCUGCCUCUUGAGAGUGCUAUUAUAGUAUUGUUUGGCCAAAAAGGAUUAGAGGUACAUUAUAUUUUUCAUAUGGUUUGUAUUGUAAACACAUAUCGUGAUACUACUAAUACAUAAAAUAUUUUACCCAA